rnacentral:ncRNA from 1 species
UGUCUUCAGGGCAGGGUGCAAUUCCCGACCGGCGGUGACAGUCCGCGAGCCUUCGGGUUGAAUCGGUGCAAUUCCGAUACCGACAGUAUAGUCUGGAUGAGAGAAGAU